AUUGAACGCUGGCGGAAUGCUUUACACAUGCAAGUCGAACGGCAGCACGGACUUCGGUCUGGUGGCGAGUGGCGAACGGGUGAGUAAUACAUCGGAACGUGCCCAGUCGUGGGGGAUAACGUAGCGAAAGCUACGCUAAUACCGCAUACGAUCUAAGGAUGAAAGCGGGGGAUCGCAAGACCUCGCGCGAUAGGAGCGGCCGAUGGCAGAUUAGGUAGUUGGUGGGGUAAAGGCCUACCAAGCCGACGAUCUGUAGCUGGUCUGAGAGGACGACCAGCCACACUGGGACUGAGACACGGCCCAGACUCCUACGGGAGGCAGCAGUGGGGAAUUUUGGACAAUGGGCGCAAGCCUGAUCCAGCCAUUCCGCGUGCAGGAUGAAGGCCCUCGGGUUGUAAACUGCUUUUGUACAGAACGAAAAGGCUCUGGUUAAUACCUGGGGCUCAUGACGGUACUGUAAGAAUAAGCACCGGCUAACUACGUGCCAGCCGCCGCCGUAAUAC
rnacentral:rRNA from 1 species